GAGCUAGAUGUGUACACUCACCUGCCGAAGCAACUAGCCCUGAAAAUGGAUGGCGCUAAAGCUUCUCACUUAUACCCCGCCGUUCAGUCAGAGCUGGCCCUUGUGGCCCUGACGACUGAACGAGUAGGCAGGUCGCAUCGGUGGCGCAGAAGGCUCUGGGUGUGAACCUGGCUGGAGCCGCCGGUGGUGCAGAUCUUGGUGGUAGUAGCAAAUACUCCAGAGAGGCCCUGGAGGACCGAUGUGGAGAAGGGUUUCGUGUGAACAGCUGUUGGACACGAGUCAGUCGAUCCUAAGUCUUAGGGGAAGCCUUAUUUAAUAGAGCGGUGUUUUCUCUCGCAGACAGACCGCAUCUACAGACGAAAGGGAAUGAGGUCCUUAUUCCUCAACCUGAUAGCGGAACCGAUCCAGGCCCUCGUACCUGACGCGGCAACGCGAAUUGAGCCUGAGACGUCUGCCCUAGCUCUGGGAAGAGUUGUCUUUUCUGCAUAAGCCGCCGAGGCCCUGGAAUUCCUUCGUGGAGAGAAUGGGUUUUGGUCUAGGCAAAGAGUCCAGCAGUUCUCGCUGGAUCCAUGAGUGCAGGGUGGAACCUUGAAAAUCAGGCUGAGGGUUACGGCGGAGUCGCAUCAGCUCGUACCCAUAUCCGCAGCAGGUCUCCUAGGUGAAUAGCCUCUGGUCGAUAGAAUAAUGUAGGUAAGGGAAGUCGGCAAAUUGGAUCCGUAACUUCGGGAUAAGGAUUGGCUCUGAGGGCCGGGGUGCUUGGGCUCUGUGCUGGAAGCGGGUUGGCCUACCGGCGGGUCUGGCCGAGCCCUCGGGUGAAGUCGGCCCCGUUUCACAGGCUCCCGUGGAUAGCCAUUGCUUUGCGGGCCCGGUGCAAGCCGGUGUCCCGUUCAAGCAUCAAUCAACGGCUAACUCAGAACUGGCACGGACUAGGGGAAUCCGACUGUCUAAUAAAACAAAGCAUGCAUU
rnacentral:rRNA from 1 species